AAAAAAAAAAAAACCAAACCAAAAAAAAACCGAAACUUUCACCACAGACACAUAAAGUUGUUCUGUGUUUAUUUGCCAUUUUUUCUCCAAGCAUACCAAAAAAAAAAAAAAAAAACCAAGUACAUACACAUCUGUGGCUACACUGUUUACAGAGUAACUUUCCUGAACUGCUUUUCUUUCCCUUUAUGUAUUCCUCCCUGCAAUUAACUGACUUUUUCUUUUUAAAAAAAAAUUAUUUAUUAUUAUAAGUAAGUACACUGUAGCUAUCUUCAGAUGCACCAGAAGAGGGCAUCAGAUCUUAUGGGUGGUUGCAAGCCACCAUGUGGUUGCUGGGAUUUGAACUCAGGACCUUUGGAAGAGCAUUGGGUGUUCUUACCCACUGAGCCAUCUCACCAGCCCCCCCUUGUUGCACUUUUUAAAGACCAUAAUAGUCAGGUAUCAGUAACUCCGAGCUUACUUUCUGGGUCUCAAAUCCCUGCUGUCCGCCCCUCAGGAGUGGAAUGUGGGGACUCCUCACCAAACACAAACAUCAAUACACAGAAGCCUCUGAAGAUGAGGAUGCCUCUUACCAAAGCGUGCCGUGCCACCUCAUUAGCCCAAGACUUCCACUUCCACGCUGUUCUAGGAUGCAAGACAAGUGGGUGGCUCUGAGACUUGGAUAGGGGGACUGGAAAGUAACCUGCCCUUGAUGCUCACCUGGACCUAAAAUGAGGGUUCCUCCUUGCUGAGCUGGGUCUCCUUGGAAAUCAAAAAGUGGGCCAGUGACUGCCCGCCACAGGCUCUGAAGGCUUCCCGAGAGCAGGUUGGACUUUAUGUGGGGGCUCUGUCCUGAAAAUAUUGAAAACUGUCUUUAGGUGUUAUCAUUUUAUAUUCCAGUUAGAUAUGGUGCCAGUUCUUAUAUGAAACAGUCUUUAAAACAUGUUUGCAUUAUGUGUUUAUGUGUGUAUUUGUGUGUGGUUCUGCAUGUUCAUGCUGUGCCCGCUGGAGGCCCCUGGAAGUGGAGUUACAGGCAGUUGUGAGUCUCCCAUUGCAAACUGAACUUGGGUCCUUUGCAAGAACACCGUGAACUCUUAAUGGUGAAGCCACCAUCUCUCCAGCCACGCAAACCUUCUCUAUUGUGCCCCGCCCUCCUUUCCUUACUCUGCAAUGGAGAUCACAGCACUGAACUUUCCACUGACCUUUUCCUUCUUUGCAACACUGGCAAACCUGUCACUCACACUGGCUCAGAUGUCCUUUUCUAUUGCACAGAAAGGCAUUUGGCAACAUCCUUGCCUUCUACACCAGCUAAAUUCGAGUAACACUGGUCGCCGAGCUGGACAACCAAAAACAUCUCCAGGACAAACAUACUGGAAGGGGGUAAUGUCCCUUCUGAGGACACUGUCUUAAAGGAAGAAGUGCAACAGACCUGACUCAUCUGCCAGAAAGGACAUCGGUGACCCAUUUCUCAGAUUUGUACCCCUUCUAUCUUAACUUCCCAUGUA
rnacentral:lncRNA from 1 species